GAGAGGAAUAUUUAUUGGACUCAAUUUCGUGUUGGAUCCGAUAAAUUGAAUAAAUAAUACAAAAAUCCAGUCUGAUAGAAAAUAAAUUGUGGGCUAUACAAUUUAAAUAAAAUACAAAUGAUUUUGAGCCCAAACAAAUUAAAUCCUACUAAAUGAUUCCAAGAAUUUAGAAGAUCCCAGCGCAGAGUUUCUCCUCUCCAAAUCUGCCGUAUUUCUUCUCCCAAUCAGCAAAUAAUUCAACAAUUUGAGAAUUAGUCCAUAGCAACAAUUAGAGUCCAAAUUAAUUGUGAAAUCAACUAACAAGUAUUUUUUUCCUUCACUUAUUCAAUCUGCUCCAAAAAUAAACCAUCCAUCAACCUUUAAUUGCUAUUAUUUUUUGGAGAAUCAAUUACCUAUUUUACGUUCCCUCUCCCACGCUCAAUAACCGUUCCUCCUCUGCAAAUCUCUUCCAAAAUUAAACCACAAUCAACUCUCAAUUGUGAACCAUUUUGAACGGUAUAUUAAUACACAUUCCCUAAUCCCUUUCCCUCACACAAAUUCACAGUCACUCACUCUCACUUGCACCUCAAAAUUUCCUCAAGCGGCGGAGGGAGCAGUAGGAAGAAGGAGCUCAUCUUUUCCCCAACCAAAUCCUAAUUUCACCACGGUAAUCAUUCUUUUCACGUUUCCCCCUUGUUUUUCUUCGUAAGGUAAAUUCACACCAGAACCUUUUUUGACAGAAAUUUGGAACCAAAUCAGGAAAGGGGGAAACCUGAAGCUUCGAUCUUCUGUCAAAGUCGAUUUGUUCAGCGAAGGUGAUAUCUUGCGCGCGAAACUUGAUUCCAAGGGAAAGGAUAUAGUUGAGACUUAAGCGCUUUGAGGUUGAGCGGCGGCGAGAGUAUGGUGGUGUUGAGCAAGUUAAUUGGAGAAUGAAUUGUUUAUCUUUGAAUUAUGAGUGUCGUUGUGUCUUCACACAUGACGUCACUCUUUCUCUUGGUCGUUUCCGCUGUGGCAUUUCUUUUACUUAUCAUUAUUGGGCCUGCAACUUAAAUUGUUUGGAUAUUGAAUACUUGGGAUUUUACUAGUUUAUGUCAAAUUCUUGGUCGUUUUCUUUGAAUAUUAAUUGUUGGUCCAACU